CAUGCAAGUCGAGGGGCAGCAAUGGUCUUAGCUUGCUAAGGCCGAUGGCGACCGGCGCACGGUGAGUAACACGUAUCCAACCUGCCGUCUACUCUUGGACAGCCUUCUGAAAGGAAGAUUAAUACAAGAUGGCAUCAUGAGUCCGCAUGUUCACAUGAUUAAAGGUAUUCCGGUAGACGAUGGGGAUGCGUUCCAUUAGAUAGUAGGCGGGGUAACGGCCCACCUAGUCUUCGAUGGAUAGGGGUUCUGAGAGGAAGGUCCCCCACAUUGGAACUGAGACACGGUCCAAACUCCUACGGGAGGCAGCAGUGAGGAAUAUUGGUCAAUGGGCGAGAGCCUGAACCAGCCAAGUAGCGUGAAGGAUGACUGCCCUAUGGGUUGUAAACUUCUUUUAUAAAGGAAUAAAGUCGGGUAUGGAUACCCGUUUGCAUGUACUUUAUGAAUAAGGAUCGGCUAACUCCGUGCCAGCAGCCGCGGUAAUACGGAGGAUCCGAGCGUUAUCCGGAUUUAUUGGGUUUAAAGGGAGCGUAGAUGGAUGUUUAAGUCAGUUGUGAAAGUUUGCGGCUCAACCGUAAAAUUGCAGUUGAUACUGGAUAUCUUGAGUGCAGUUGAGGCAGGCGGAAUUCGUGGUGUAGCGGUGAAAUGCUUAGAUAUCACGAAGAACUCCGAUUGCGAAGGCAGCCUGCUAAGCU
rnacentral:rRNA from 1 species